CCUUGAUCAUAAUUAUAAGCAUUUUCUUCAAAAGAUGAGAGUGCAAUCAAAUGGUACAGAAAGAGACCAUUAUGACGAAUCCACAUUUGAACAUGUUUUCCUGUGUAGUGUGUUGUUCGUUUAACUGUAAUAACGUUUCAAAUUAAUUACAUAACUCUCCUUAGCUCGUAGUCAAUUUCUCUCGUGAAACGUAAAAGAAAAGCGAUCAAAGAGGAGUCGUCCCGUACGGAUAGAUUAUGCACGACUUGGGUUAUCUGGUAAGACCUCGUGAUUGUUUAACGCUACCGAUAGGUAAUCGUGCGCGUUCGUCUUCGGAUAACAGAGCGUAUCAUGUUGCGCGAAAGUACAACGACUGUUUUGCGCGCGCGCAUCGUUGCUCGCGUCCUCCGUCGUCGUCAUCGUCGUCUGUCGCUAGCGACGUUUUAUGGAAACUCGCUCAAAGAGCGAGACUAUCGAGAUUAUCAUUAUACAUACGUAUAAUCAUACUUCUCGAGAUCUGUCCACAUAAUCUGUUCGAUUUGUAAAGAAACGUGAUCGUAUCAUAAGGAAUUAUAAAGGACAAGGGCUAGAACGAGAUAGCCGACCGGCCGGCAUUGGGCACGCUACAUUCUCGUGGGCUUCUACCCCUUUCACACUUUGGUGAAGCUUCUCCAAGCAAUACGAACACGGCGGGGUUCCCUUAACAUGAACUGCCAGUGCGUCGCUUCGUUUUCAUCAGCCAAUCGUUGCUCUCCGCUAUCGCUGUGCUCGACGUUACAAGCCUUUUCAUUGGUCUACGCGUCUUUUCCAUCUGUUUUUUCUUUCUCUUUCUGACUAUCGCUGAUACAUAAACGCUGGCACGCCGUUAGUUAUGUUCAGGGACGCCUCAAGAGCGUAACUAACAAGGGGUGCUUCAUUCACCCUCAUGAUGAUUAUUCUCAAUCUUUUUAAGUCAUCAUUUAUUAGAUAUUUAUUUCUG
rnacentral:lncRNA from 1 species